rnacentral:rRNA from 1 species
GGUAACAGGAUGUGCUUGCACAUCGCUGACGAGUGGCGGACGGGUGAGUAAUGCUUGGGAACUUGCCUUUGCGAGGGGGAUAACAGUUGGAAACGACUGCUAAUACCGCAUAAUGUCUUCGGACCAAACGGGGCUUANGCUCCGGCGCAAAGAGAGGCCCAAGUGAGAUUAGCUAGUUGGUAAGGUAACGGCUUACCAAGGCGACGAUCUCUAGCUGUUCUGAGAGGAAGAUCAGCCACACUGGGACUGAGACACGGCCCAGACUCCUACGGGAGGCAGCAGUGGGGAAUAUUGCACAAUGGGGGAAACCCUGAUGCAGCCAUGCCGCGUGUGUGAAGAAGGCCUUCGGGUUGUAAAGCACUUUCAGUUGUGAGGAAAAGUUAGUAGUUAAUACCUGCUAGCCGUGACGUUAACAACAGAAGAAGCACCGGCUAACUCCGUGCCAGCAGCCGCGGUAAUACGGAGGGUGCGAGCGUUAAUCGGAAUUACUGGGCGUAAAGCGCACGCAGGCGGUUUGUUAAGCUAGAUGUGAAAGCCCCGGGCUCAACCUGGGAUGGUCAUUUAGAACUGGCAGACUAGAGUCUUGGAGAGGGGAGUGGAAUUCCAGGUGUAGCGGUGAAAUGCGUAGAUAUCUGGAGGAACAUCAGUGGCGAAGGCGACUCCCUGGCCAAAGACUGACGCUCAUGUGCGAAAGUGUGGGUAGCGAACAGGAUUAGAUACCCUGGUAGUCCACACCGUAAACGCUGUCUACUAGCUGUGUGUGCCUUUAAGGCGUGCGUAGCGAAGCUAACGCGCUAAGUANACCGCCUGGGGAGUACGGCCGCAAG